CAAUAGCGUAUAUUAAAGUUGUUGCAGUUAAAAAGCUCGUAGUUGGAUUUCUGGUAGGAGUGACCGUUCCGAACUUGAUUGUUCGUGUAUUGUGUUUUCUCCAGCCAUCCUUGUGGAGAACUUUUCUUGCAUUAAUUUGUAGGGAUUGGGACCCGCAUCGUUUACUGUGAAAAAAUUAGAGUGUUUAAAGCGGGCAAUCGCUUGAAUACAUUAGCAUGGAAUAAUAAGAUAGGACUUUGGUACUAUUUUGUCGGUUUGCAUACCAAAUUAAUGAUCAACAGGAACAGUUUGAGGAUAUUCGUAUGAACAUGUCAGAGGUGAAAUUCUUGGAUUUUGAUCAGACGAACUACUGCGAAAGCAUUUAUCAAGGAUGUUUUCAUUAA
rnacentral:rRNA from 1 species